AGUGAACGCUGGCGGUAGGCCUAACACAUGCAAGUCGAACGGCAGCACAGUAAGAGCUUGCUCUUACGGGUGGCGAGUGGCGGACGGGUGAGGAAUACAUCGGAAUCUACUUUUUCGUGGGGGAUAACGUAGGGAAACUUACGCUAAUACCGCAUACGACCUACGGGUGAAAGCAGGGGAUCUUCGGACCUUGCGCGAUUGAAUGAGACGAUGUCGGAUUAGCUAGUUGGCGGGGUAAAGGCACACCAAGGCGACGAUCCGUAGCUGGUCUGAGAGGAUGAUCAGCCACCCUGGAACUGAGCCCCGGUCCAGACUCCUACGGGAGGCAGCAGUGGGGAAUAUUGGACAAUGGGCGCAAGCCUGAUCCAGCCAUACCGGGUGGGUGAAGAAGGCCUUCGGGUUGUAAAGCCCUUUUGUUGGGAAAGAAAAGCAGCAGGUUAAUACCCCGCUGUUCUGACGGUACCCAAAGAAUAAGCACCGGCUAACUUCGUG
rnacentral:rRNA from 1 species